rnacentral:rRNA from 1 species
GAUGAACGCUAGCUACAGGCUUAACACAUGCAAGUCGAGGGGCAGCAUGAACAUAGCUUGCUAUGUUUGAUGGCGACCGGCGCACGGGUGCGUAACACGUAUCCAAACUACCCAUGGCUCGGGGAUAGCCUUUCGAAAGAAAGAUUAAUACCCGAUGGUCUCGGUUUAGGGCAUCUUAGACUGAGUAAAGAUUUAUCGGCGAUGGAUGAGGAUGCGUCUGAUUAGGUAGAUGGCGGGGUAACGGCCCACCAUGCCUACGAUCAGUAGGGGCUCUGAGAGGAAGGUCCCCCACAUUGGAACUGAGACACGGUCCAAACUCCUACAGGAGGCAGCAGUGAGGAAUAUUGGUCAAUGGACGAGAGUCCGAACCAGCCAAGUAGCGUGAAGGAUGACUGCCCUAUGGGUUGUAAACUUCUUUUGUUUGGGAAUAAAGUUCGGGACGUGUCCCGUUUUGUAUGUACCAUUCGAAUAAGCAUCGGCUAAUUCCGUGCCAGCAGCCGCGGUAAAAC